ACGGGUGAGUAACGCGUGGGAACGUGCCCUUCGGUUCGGAAUAACUCAGGGAAACUUGAGCUAAUACCGGAUACGUGCGAGAGCAGAAAGGUUUACUGCCGAAGGAUCGGCCCGCGUCUGAUUAGCUAGUUGGUGAGGUUACGGCUCACCAAGGCGACGAUCAGUAGCUGGUCUGAGAGGAUGAUCAGCCACACUGGGACUGAGAUACGGCCCAGACUCCUACGGGAGGCAGCAGUGGGGAAUAUUGGACAAUGGGGGCAACCCUGAUCCAGCCAUGCCGCGUGAGUGAUGACGGCCUUAGGGUUGUGAAGCUCUUUUCUCCGGGACGAUAAUGACGGUACCGGAGGAAUAAGCCCCGGCUAACUUCGUGCCAGCAGCCGCGGUAAUACGAAGGGGGCUAGCGUUGCUCGGAAUCACUGGGCGUAAAGGGCGCGUAGGCGGCUGAUUUAGUCGAGGGUGAAAGCCCGUGGCUCAACCACGGAAUGGCCUUCGAUACUGAUUGGCUUGAGACCGGAAGAGGACAGCGGAACUGCGAGU
rnacentral:rRNA from 1 species